GGUGGCGGAGGCUCCUUCGAAGCGGGCGGCGAUGGACGCGGGAAGGGUGGCAUCCGGCUUUGGGCGCUCUUGUUGGCUGCGGAUGCUCUUCGACGAUCCAAGGAGACGUCGAUGCCCUGGCACAUCCAAGAUCCUCGGACACGGUAAUUAUCCCAACCUAUCUUUAGUAAUCCGUUUGAAGGAGUAGGGUUUUGGCAUGUAUCGGUGAUUGUUAAUUCGACCGAAGAACCAAGAAUGUGCUUUGUCAUGUUCUUCUAAAUCUGGAGUUCUUUAUCGAAUUGAAGCCAUAUCUGGUUUUACUAGCGAGCAACAGAUUUUCUUUCCUGCUUUAGGGGGAAAAAGGUUGAUUCUUGACAGAAUUUUUGGUGUCAGAACAAGCUCCUGGUUUCUCUCCCUGAAAUGAGUGUUAUAACUCAUGGUGUUGAUGGCUAGAAAUGCAUGAGGAGUUGAGGCAUUGGGGCUUUUAGGUUUUGCUGCGUCAUUCAGUGCCUCGACGGAAUGCACCAGCCUUCCGGGGAAGGUCGAUAUAUUAGAAUAAGUAGAGAAACUAACUCCGAAACUCAAACCUCGGUCACCUAGAUUGCAAAGAGUGGCCUUAUUAUUAGUUCGUCAAAAUUCAUGAGUUCCUUCAUAACAUUGUCAUUGACAACCACAAGGGAGACAAUACUGCUGGACUGAUUGAUAUCUUUUUUUUUUUAAUCUUUUUAAGGUACUUUCACCUAUUAAUUAUUUUAACUUAGGUUAUAUAAGUUCCAAAAGACUAAUGUUGAUGGAAAUUUUAUAGGCAAACACAGGGUGUCAAAUAGAAAUGCCAAUUCAGGAAAUGUAAACCAUAACUUCAAGAACUGUAGGGCGUGAAUGAAAAAUCUCCCUUUUUUUUUUUGUUGCAGAUGAAUAGUAAUGGAUUGUUCCAGUUAGAGAAGCUGUUUGAAGUGCAUGUGCUUAUUGUUGCACUAAAUUUUACUUCUGUUUUUUUUGUUUUAUAGACUUAGUCUUGAAUGAAUGAUUCACUCGAUUUGGAUCGGUUUUUCUUAUUGAGUACAUUUCUCAAAAUAUGAUUGUUAUCCAAAUAGAGUAGUAUUGGGUUAUCUCUUUUAAUGUAUAAAAUUUGUUUUUGCCAUAUUUCUCCUGGUACCAGAAUGCACACACCUCUGGCGUGACUUGGAAAACAUGAAGCGAGCACUUCUGUUUGGAGUCCCCCAUAUUUGAUUCUACCAUGUUCAUUGUCUGAUUGCAUGUCAUGCAUCACGUAACUGUUUCACAAACUGAUGUUUUGUUCAAAUUUUUGUUAUGAUCUUGUCAUUCCUGCUCAAAGGCUUUAUCAUUGCCAUUAAAAACACUUUCUGGGUAUGUUUGUAAUGUUCAGAUUCAUGGCUCUUUAUUAUUUAUAGAAGCCUUGGAGAAGUUGUUUAUCAUAACAUGUGGGAAGGGAUGAUCAUGAGUUUUCCAAUUUACUCGGAGUCCCCCAUAUUUGAUUCUACCAUGUUCAGUGUCUGAUUGCAUGUCAUGCAUCACGUAACUGUUUCACAAACUGAUGUUUCGUUCAAAUUUUUGUUAUGAUCUUGUCAUUCCUGCUCGAAGGCUUUAUCAUUGCCAUUAAAAACACUUUCUGGGUAUGUUUGUAAUAUUCAGAUUCAUGGUUCUUUAUUAUUUAUAGAAACCUUGGAGAAGUUGUUUAUCAUAACAUGUGGGAAGGGAUGAUCACGAGUUUCCAAUUUAC
rnacentral:lncRNA from 1 species